rnacentral:rRNA from 1 species
CCUACGGGUGGCAGCAGUCGAGAAUCAUUCACAAUGGGGGAAACCCUGAUGGUGCGACGCCGCGUGGGGGAAUGAAGGUCUUCGGAUUGUAAACCCCUGUCACGUGGGAGCAAAUUAAAAAGAUAGUACCACAAGAGGAAGAGACGGCUAACUCUGUGUCAGCAGCCGCGGUAAUACAGAGGUCUCAAGCGUUGUUCGGAAUCACUGGGCGUAAAGCGUGCGUAGGCUGUUUCGUAAGUCGUGUGUGAAAGGCGCGGGCUCAACCCGCGGACGGCACAUGAUACUGCGAGACUGGAGUAGUGGAGGGGGAACCGGAAUGCUCGGUGUAGCAGUGAAAUGCGUAGAUAUCGGGAGGAACACUCGUGGCGAAGGCGGGUUCCUGGACAUUAACUGACGCUGAGGCACGAAGGCCAGGGGAGCGAAAGGGAUUAGAUACCCCUGUAGUC